CAGCAGCCACGGGAAUACGGAGGGUGCAAGCGUUAUCCGGAUUCACUGGGUUUAAAGGGUGCGUAGGCGGAUCUGUAAGUCAGUGGUGAAAUCUCCAGGCUUAACCUGGAAACUGCCGUUGAUACUAUAGGUCUUGAAUUUUGUGGAGGUUAGCGGAAUAUGUCAUGUAGCGGUGAAAUGCAUAGAUAUAACAUAGAACACCAAUUGCGAAGGCAGCUGGCUACACAACUAUUGACGCUGAGGCACGAAAGCGUGGGGAGCCAACAGGAUUAGAUACCCCCGUAGUCCCUGUCUCUUAUAC
rnacentral:rRNA from 1 species